rnacentral:rRNA from 1 species
GACGAACGCUGGCGGCGUGCUUAACACAUGCAAGUCGAACGGAAAGGCCCUGCCUUUGUGGGGUGCUCGAGUGGCGAACGGGUGAGUAACACGUGAGUAACCUGCCCUUGACUUUGGGAUAACUUCAGGAAACUGGGGCUAAUACCGGAUAGGAGCUCCUGCUGCAUGGUGGGGGUUGAAAAGUUUCGGCGGUUGGGGAUGGACUCGCGGCUUAUCAGCUUGUUGGUGGGGUAGUGGCUUACCAAGGCUUUGACGGGUAGCCGGCCUGAGAGGGUGACCGGCCACAUUGGGACUGAGAUACGGCCCAGACUCCUACGGGAGGCAGCAGUGGGGAAUAUUGCACAAUGGGCGGAAGCCUGAUGCAGCAACGCCGCGUGCGGGAUGACGGCCUUCGGGUUGUAAACCGCUUUCGCCUGUGACGAAGCGUGAGUGACGGUAAUGGGUAAAGAAGCACCGGCUAACUACGU